rnacentral:rRNA from 1 species
UACGUAGGGUGCAAGCGUUAAUCGGAAUUACUGGGCGUAAAGCGUGCGCAGGCGGUUGUGCAAGACAGAUGUGAAAUCCCCGGGCUCAACCUGGGAAUUGCAUUUGUGACUGCACGGCUAGAGUGUGUCAGAGGGGGGUAGAAUUCCACGUGUAGCAGUGAAAUGCGUAGAGAUGUGGAGGAAUACCGAUGGCGAAGGCAGCCCCCUGGGAUAACACUGACGCUCAUGCACCGAAAGCGUGGGGGAGCAAACAGG